CCAGAUGCAGAUUAUUGCUGCCAAACAAGACGAGCUAGCUAGUAAAUCGAUUGCUAACAAAUCAAAUCUGAGUGAAAAGGAAAUACUUUGGCAUGGUACAGUUUGACCAGCCACAGGACCAAAUCAGUUAACCUACUCCCUUUAGUCUGCAUCAAGCAACAGCAUGACGAAGAGAUUACAACAACAACAGUCGCUACAGAUCAAUCGACAGGGGAAGAACAGCAGAAGACCAGAGAUUGUACUGU